UUUGAUCCUUCACCUGCAGAAUGUAUGUGAAGUUCUUUCCUGGAGGGAUAGGGCAUGUUGUUCCGUAUACACCAUCUUCAUAUGAAUUCCUCCUGUUUUGGACUCCAUUCCUACAUAUUUAUCAUCUCCAUGUAAGUUACUAAAGGUAAAUAAGUCACAUAGCUUGGGAUAGUUUUGGAUUGAAUCAAAAUAGUCUAACCUUUAUUUCAUUUUAAAAUUUGAAUUUAUUUUAAGUUUAAAUUAUUUUGAGUUUCGUCUUUCAUGAUUAUUUGUGUGACUUUUUUUAAAUUGAAUCAUUUUUUUGUUCCAAUGAUAAAUUUUAAGUUGAUUAAAUUUAAGUUAUUGAUUGUUAUUAAAAUCAAUUUGUAAAAUUCAAGCCAAAUUGAUACAACUACGUACAUUACGACAAUGGAGUUGCAAGUUCAUAAACGAAUCAUCUACUAGUUUAUCAGAAUUUUGACAAAACAAAUUAGCAUCAAUAUUUAACAAAAUAUAGACGUGAUAAUUGAUAAAGCUAACAAUUAAGACCACCUUUGGUUCUGGGUCCAUAUAUCUAUCCAAAAGAAUUCCUAAUCCACUUGCUCUAUCUGUUAGGGGUGGUAGACAGCUAAUUAGAAGGUGGACCACUUGGAUCACGGAUGAUAAUUAGUGGGUAAAUGUUGUCUCUCCCAAUCAAGGACAUGUCGCUUUCUACCUCUAAUUACAGCAAAGGAAAGAAUCCGCUUACUUGUAAACUGAUACUAACAACGAAAAAGGUAAUUAUGUGCUCCACUAUAUACCACGAUAAACGGCGGACGCUUGAUUUGAGUGGCAAACUGCCAGUUCCGUGGAUAAUGUAUUUUUGCAGAAAAUAGUUAAGAAAUGCAAUGAUAUUAUGCUGAUUUAAACGCAGAUCAGCCAUGUCAGCAAUUGCAUAUAUAUAUGUAUGUUUUCCCUAGCGUUCACGUUUAAUAAAGCAGAAAAAAGAAGCAAAAUGAAUGAGUCCUUCCGACCAGACAUUGUUCAAUAGCAAGUCUAAAGUGUGAGUGACCGAUUAAGACGGAUGGUUG
rnacentral:lncRNA from 1 species